AAGCGAAUAGUGAAAUCUGGCGGCUCAACCGUACAGGCUAUUAUUCGAACUCACUAACUCGAGAGUGGUAGAGGUUACUGGAAUUUCUAGUGUAGGAGUGAAAUCCGUAGAUAUAAGAAGGAACACCAAUGGCGUAGGCAGGUGACUGGACCAUUUCUGACGCUAAGGCACGAAAGCGUGGGGAGCGAACCGGAUUAGAUACCCGGGUAGUCCACGCCGUAAACGAUGGAUACUG
rnacentral:rRNA from 1 species